rnacentral:rRNA from 1 species
AUUGAACGCUGGCGGCAGGCCUAACACAUGCAAGUCGAGCGAUCGGCGGACGGGGGAGGAUUGUACGGGGACUGCCCGCUAGAGGGGGAUAACUACUGGAAACGGUAGCUAAUACUGCAUACUAUCGGAUAACACAUAUGGGAUUGGCUAGUGGGUGAGGUAAUGGCUCCCCUAGGCGACGAUCCCUAGCUGGUCUGAGAGGAUGAUCAGCAACACUGGGACUGAGACACGGCCCAGACUCCUACGGAGGCAGCAGUGGGGAAUAUUGCACAAUGGGCGCAAGCCUGAUGCAGCCAUGCCGCGUGUAUGAAGAAGGCCCUAGGGUUGUAAAGUACUUUCAGUCGGGAGGCGUUACCGACAGAAGAAGCACCGGCUAACUCCGUGCCAGCAGCCGCGGUAAUUC